rnacentral:snoRNA from 13 species
ACAGCCCUUACUGUAGUGCGCGUGCCGCAAACCACCUAGGCACCGUGCAUGAAACUGGAGGGCGAGAGAC